rnacentral:lncRNA from 1 species
AUUGGCGUCGGACGGCAUCGCGACAUGAGGACAGGUAAUCUAGACUUCAGCCAUGUUCACUUACCAGCGGAAAUUGGCAAGAGAGAAGCGUGUGUAUCGUUGGAACUUGGUUUUCUGGCACGGCACACAAAAAUUACGUCACAAGGAACAAUCUUUGUUCACGGAGGGUCACACGAAAUGUUGACGCAGAUUACUGUGGUAGCACAUUUGCCUGGCUGGUAUAAGUUGUGGAGUCAAUCGGAAAUCUGUCUUCGAAGUUGAGGUGCGGAACGAAAAAUCUGAUUAUAUGUAUAGAGAUAUCACAAAAUAGUUUUAGUCCUUAGGAAAUAGUGAAAUGUGCUUUAAAUGAAGGUUAUAGAUUGGUUGAGCAUGCUUUCCACUACUGAG